ACGGAAGGCAGCAGUGAGGAAUAUUGGUCAAUGGGCGAGAGCCUGAACCAGCCAAGUCGCGUGAAGGAAGACGGUUCUAUGGAUUGUAAACUUCUUUUGUCCGAGGGUAAAGUGAGAGAUGCGUCUCUUAUUGCAAGUAUCGGACGAAUAAGCAUCGGCUAACUCCGUGCCAGCAGCCGCGGUAAUACGGAGGAUGCGAGCGUUAUCCGGAUUUAUUGGGUUUAAAGGGUGCGCAGGCGGCACGUUAAGUCAGCGGUGAAAUGUCGGGGCUCAACCCGGGCACUGCCGUUGAAACUGGCGAGCUUGAGUACGGAUGAAGUCGGCGGAAUGUGAUGUGUAGCGGUGAAAUGCUUAGAUAUGUCACAGAACACCGAUUGCGAAGGCAGCUGACUAAUCCGCAACUGACACUCAGGCACGAAAGCGUGGGGAUCGAACAGGAUUAGAUACCCUGAUA
rnacentral:rRNA from 1 species